rnacentral:rRNA from 1 species
ACAUGCAAGUCGAACGGUAAGGCUCCAGCUUGCUGGGGUACACGAGUGGCGAACGGGUGAGUAACACGUGGGUGACCUGCCCUGCACUUCGGGAUAAGCCUGGGAAACUGGGUCUAAUACCGGAUAGGACCAUGGUGUGGAUGCUGUGGUGGAAAGUUUUUUCGGUGUGGGAUGGGCCCGCGGCCUAUCAGCUUGUUGGUGGGGUAAUGGCCUACCAAGGCGUCGACGGGUAGCCGGCCUGAGAGGGUGGACGGCCACAUUGGGACUGAGACACGGCCCAGACUCCUACGGGAGGCAGCAGAAGGG